rnacentral:misc_RNA from 1 species
ACUAAAUCCUCUUUCUGCUCAUAAAGAGGUGUGGAGAGGAUUAUGCUGUUACUUUUACUAAUUGGAUCAUUCUUGGGAUCCAUGAUUUCCUCUCUACCAGUCAUUGCUCCCAAAGAUGGCACGAAAAACUCACAAACAGAUAGUAAGAAAUCUGGUACAACAAGAAUACGAGGCUGCUGUAUCCGUAGAACAAAUGAUUGGGAUGCCAAUCUCCAUCUGCAGUCCAUCACAACCAUUGUUGAAGUUGGAAAGUCAACACCAAUUUCAGAAGAGUUCUGUCGAUGAGCAUCAAUGCAUGACCCAAGCAUCAGCCUCA